GGAGAGUGUGUGCUUUGGAUUCAAGAUUGGGAAUGAGUAGACCAGAAAUCUAUUCUGUGGCUGUUUCUUGCUAGGAUUUUCCUAAGCCUCUGGAAAAGCGCAAAGUACAAUUAACAUUUGAGUCUGUCUGAGUCAUGAAGAAAUGGAGAUUACUCUUAUUACUGAAAAUAAUCCAUUUUGGUAUCUUCUUACAUCCUGAGAGCCUAAUCUUUCCAAGUUCAUCUAAGGCUCCUCUUCUCCAUGACAACCUCAUCCAGGGAUUUCUUCCUGUCCUGGUGUUUUAUGACAUAAUCACAUCCUUCCUGAGAUAAUGAGCACACAAUUGCCUGGAUACCUGAAGGAAUGGAGACAGCAGCAGAAAACACUGCAGAGAGGUGGAAACAUCCGUUAAUAUUUUAAAAUCCCAUUACUGCUACCAACAAUAAUAAUGGAUGCAUAGAAAUAGAUCUGGAUUCACUGAGCUUAAAACAGUCCAUCUCACACACACACAAAAUAAUUUCAGAUACAGUGAACCCAGAUGUUGAAGCUUUCUAGUAUAAUAACAAUUUCAACUCUUCUGUUGAAUCAUCUGUCCUGAUUGGAGGCUACAGAAAAGAUGUCAUUUUAGGACUGCUUGCUCUGAGUGAGGCUCAUCUUCAAAUCUGAAUGACCACAAGGAGAUUUGAUUAUACAUGUGAACACCUCAGAAGGCACAGCCCGCCCAGAAGGCAGACAG